UGGACUACUAUGACCCUAGGAGGCUGGAGA
rnacentral:piRNA from 1 species